UAUCAAAAACAUGUCUUUUUGAGAAUAAUAUAAAGUCUGGCCUGCCCACUGAUUUUAUAAUUUAAGGGCCGCAGUAUUUUGACUGUGCAAAGGUAGCAUAAUCAUUUGUCCUUUAAUUGGGGACUAGAAUGAAUGGUUUUACGAAGUAUUGACUGUCUCAAGAAUAAUUUUAUAGAAUUUAACUUUUGAGUUAAAAGGCUUAAAUGAUAUUAGAGGACGAGAAGACCCUAUAGAGCUUUAUAAUUUAUUUAUGAAUUUUAUUUGGAAAUAUAUUUUAGAAUUUAUAAUAUAAAUUAUUUUAUUGGGGUGAUAUGAAGAUUUAAAGAACUCUUUAUUAGAUAAACCAUUAAUAUAUGAAUAAUUGAUCCAUUAAUAAUGAUUAUAAGAUUAAGUUACCUUAGGGAUAACAGCGUAAUUUUUUUUGAGAGUUCAAAUCGACAAAAAAGAUUGCGACCUCGAUGUUGGAUUAAGGGAAAUAAUUAGGUGUAGAAGUUUAAUUUAUAGGUCUGUUCGACCUUUGAAUCCUUACAUGAUCUG
rnacentral:rRNA from 1 species